rnacentral:rRNA from 1 species
AAUAUUGGACGACGGGGGCAACCCUGAUCCAGCCAUGCCGCGUGUGUGAAGAAGGUCCUCGGAUUGCAAAGCACUUUAAGUUGGGAGGAAGGGCUUUAGGUUAAUACCCUGAAGUUUUGACGUUACCAACAGAAUAAGCACCGGACAACUCUGUGCCAGCCGCCGCGGUAAUAAAGAGGGUGCAAGCGUUAAUCGGAAUUACUGUGCGUAAAGCGGGCGUAGGUGGUUCAAUAAGAUGGGUGUGAAAUCCCCGGGCUUAACCUGGGAACUGCUUUCAUAACUGCUGAGCUAGAGUACGGUAGAGGGUAGUGGAAUUUCCUGUGUAGCGGUGAAAUGCGUAGAUAUAGGAAGGAACACCAGUGGCGAAGGCGACUACCUGGACUGAUACUGACACUGAGGUGCGAAAGCGUGGGGAGCAAACAG